AUCUAUGGCCAUGCUACCCUGAACAAGCUGGAUCCCGUCUGAUCUCGGAAGCUAAGCAGGGUGGGGCCUGGUUAGCACUUGGAUGGGAGACCACCUAGGAAGACCAGGUGCUGUAGGCG
rnacentral:rRNA from 1 species